UCAUGAAUAGCCCUCGCAAAAAAGGAAAGAAGCAUAGCACCACAUACACACUGCAAAAGUAGUCUCCUAGCCCUGAGCCAUGCGCACAUUGUGAUUGCAACCUUAGCAAGCCGGUAGCCCAUGCAGCGAGGUGCACCAGAAUAAUUGUGGUGCCGGGAACAAAGAAAGGAGAGUCGUCGAACAUCACUUCAUCGACAUCGCUAGAUCGAUGAAUUUUUUGCGUAAUUUCAAAAACUGCCUCGGAGAAUCCAAACUGCUCGAGCGCGGCGUUUACAAGACCAAAUAACCAUGCACUUGUUGUGACAAUUCGGGCCAUACAAUUGUUAACCCACCAUGAACGGAUUGAUAAACCAGCUUGAAUGUACUCUAAUAGAGUAUAUAAUUUGUAGAUCAAAAAAAGUGCAAGAGGGAUCAAUACGGUUGGUUCCUGGACCUGCAUGUACAAUUGACAUUUUCAGCGGUUCAAAAAGUAAUAAGUCGUUUGAUUAACAUGUUGAUUUGACUUGGCACUCAAGUGGUUUUUCAAAUAGUUUUCUGUUACUAUCUAUUCAAGAUCAAUUCUCGGAAAGGUAGGAAUUAAAAAAUUAAUUUAGGUUUUACUCACCCUUCUACUUUUUAUUUUGGAAAAAAAAAAGUUAGGUUUCAGUUGUUAUACACCCGAGAAUUGUACUGGUCGCCCUUUCAUUUUUUUGGUUAAUCAUUUGCCAUGAACAAAAAGGCAAGGCAUUUAAAUGACAUUAAGGACAUGCGUGUGAUGACAAGUGAUGAAUAAUUAUUGAGCGGCAAUUAUAACUAGGAAAGAACAAGAAGAAUUUGUCUGACCUUUGGCAGGAAAGUGGAGUUGGUGAUGAUGCAAUAAGCUGGAAGGGCAAUGUAGCACAGCUCGGGAAUUGAGCGCAAGCCCCAAGUAAGGAUCCACAAAUAAGCCAAACAUUGUCGAAAUUGGAGCUUCCCGAUGAGAGUAGCCAAUAUGGGGUUACGUUUGCUGAAUAGGAUUUCAAGCAGUCCCGUGGCCCACCUUUUCUGUUGUCUCAUCCCAG
rnacentral:lncRNA from 1 species